AACAAAAAUGCAAUUUAUAUUUUUGAAUCUUGAUGUUUAUAUUUUUUCCCGGUGAUGAAGAUCUCAUGAAGAAAUAUAUAUGACAUUAUAAAUAAAAUAUAUUUUAUGCCUCGGCUGUGAUGGAAGGGGCAGAAAGGUUUACCUGUGACAAUAUGUCUCUAACUUCAGUUUGUUGACCAAAUGUUAUUGAAUUCUUACACAAUGAUUAUUACCACAAAAAUGCAUAGAUCAAAUUUGAACUUGGGUGUGGUUGCUUUCACUGUUCUUGAGUUAUGUCCUUUUAUAAAUAGAAAAAUAGCUGAAUGUGCUGUUUUUUCAUUCCAAACUUUACUUUUCUACAAUCUGAAACUUAUAUACAAUGCUGACUGCCGCCAAACACAGAUCAUUUGAGGAUUUGAGGAAUAAAUUAAAAACAUUUUGCGGUUUGACUCUCAAUACAUGUGUAAUAGUGUAUUGUUAUUGUUUACUCUUUAGUGCAUAACUUGUUGACAUUAAAUAUUAUUUUAUAUGUUGUUUUAAUAUUGUUAUUUUCCCCAAUCAUUUGGUUGGUCAUAUCUCAGUUAGUGAAGCCAGAUUUAUUUUUGUUUAUAAAUAUAUAUUUUAUGUGUGCAUGCCUUUAUUUAGACACACACCUUUUGUUUAUUUUUUAUCCUCUAAUACUAAGUGUAGCAUACAGAAUGAGUAAAUCGGAUAUUUUCAGUAAUACUAGAUCUCAAAUACCAAAUAAUGUCCAAAGAAGGUAGAAAUAUAGAGGUAGGCAUUGUGACAUAUUGAUACUUAAUCUUGUUUUACUACCAUUAACCGUUAACAUGUUAAUUUAACUUUAUAUUUGAACUCAGAAGAAUAAAGAAAUUGGGUCAUUAUGGUCAAUUUACAGUGAAAAUGCUCAUUCCUGCAUUCCCUUAUCAUUAUUUAUUUAUAAGCAUAAGUUUUCAUAUCCAAAUUCACUUGUAAGUAGGCUUUCCCAUUUGCUAACAAAGAAUUGUAAUAAUUAUUCUUUCUGAACUUCUAAAAUGUAUUUAGAAUAAUGUGUGCUUAAUUUAGAUUGCUGUGUAUUUAUAUCUUGAGUAUAAUGAUUAUAUGCUAUUUGCUAUUGUUUACAUACUAUUGUUAUGAUUUGAAUAUAAAGCUAGGAACAGAAAUGUCUACAUGUUAAGUAUGUAUAAGUAUGAUCUCUUAAGUGAAUCUUUUUAAAAAUUACUUAAACAUUUGACAUAAAGGUAGGUCAGGUGUUGUCACACUGAAUGCAAUCUGGUGCAAACCUCUGCUUUCUAAUGUACCAAAUAUUCAAACAUAGAUAUGUGAUUAAGGAAAGUUAAAGCUUGAUAUUUAUAAUACUAUUAAGUUUAGUAAAAUACAACAUCUAUCAUUUUGUUCAAUUACUUUAAUAUGUAGAAAUAUAUCAGAAUUAAUUGAAAGCAGGUUGAAAUUUCAAUAUUGUAGGUGUUUCAAAAUACAUCAUAUGAUAAUAUCUCAAUAGAGACAUUUUGUAUGUAUUAUAGAAGAUAUUUAAAUGCAUAUCAGCAUACAGAGGGUUAGUUGUGGUAAAUUAUUGGUAUUUAAGCAUAGUGUGUAAGCAAAUAAAAGAUUUGUUGUUGAGAUUUUAUAAAUAAAGGACAUGCAUCAUACUUGAUGAUUAUUUUCUUAGAAUGAUAAAUUAGAACCAAACACCUGUCCACUACAACAGAUGUUACCUCAAGUUGGUCAAGGUAUUUACU
rnacentral:lncRNA from 1 species